AUACGGAGGGUGCAAACGUUGUUCGGAAUCACUGGGCGUAAAGGGCGCGCAGGCGGUUUGAUUAGUCAGAUGUGAAAGCCCACGGCUUAACCGUGGAAGUGCAUUUGAAACUGUCAGACUUGAGUACUAGAGGGGAAAGUGGAAUUCCCGGUGUAGAGGUGAAAUUCGUAGAUAUCGGGAGGAAUACCGGUGGCGAAGGCGACUUUCUGGCUAGAUACUGACGCUGAGGCGCGAAAGCGUGGGGAGCAAACAGGAUUAGAUACCCUAGUAGUCC
rnacentral:rRNA from 1 species